AAUCAACGCUGGCGGCGUGCCUCAGACAUGCAAGUCGAACGAUUAAGACUCUCUUCGGAGAGUGUAUAAAGUGGCGCACGGGUGAGUAACACGUAGGUAAUGUACCGAAGGGUGGGGAAUAACUUAGGGAAACUUAAGCUAAUACCGCAUAAUGCAGCGGCUCGACAUCGAGACAGUUGUUAAAGGAGCAAUCCGCCUUUUGAGCAGCCUGCGGCAGAUUAGCUAGUUGGUAAGGUAAUGGCUUACCAAGGCUACGAUCUGUAACCGACCUGAGAGGGUGGUCGGUCACACUGACACUGAAUAACGGGUCAGACUCCUACGGGAGGCAGCAGUCGGGAAUUUUGGGCAAUGGGCGAAAGCCUGACCCAGCAACGCCGCGUGAAGGAUGAAGUAUUUCGGUAUGUAAACUUCGUAAGAAUAGGAAGAAUAAAUAGACGGU
rnacentral:rRNA from 1 species